GCAUAAUCACUAGUUUUUUAAUUGAAAGCUUGAAUGAAGGGUUGGACGAGAAGUUAACUGUCUUUACUAAAAAAAUAGAAUUUAACUUUUAAGUGAGAGGGCUUAAAUAUUUUAGGGGGACGAUAAGACCCUAUAAAAUUUAACAAUUAAGAAAUUAAUAGGGAGUAAGAUAAAGUUAGAGGUACUGUUAAAGGUUGUGUUGUUUUGUUGGGGCGACGGGAAUAUAAGUGAAUUAACUGUUCUUUAAUUAAAAUUUCAUUAAUGUUUGUAGUUUGUGAUCCUUGUUAGAGAUGAGAAGAAGAAAAUUACUUUAGGGAUAACAGCGUAAUUUUUUUUGAGAGUUCCUAUCGACAAAAAAGUUUGCGACCUCGAUGUUGAAUUAA
rnacentral:rRNA from 1 species